rnacentral:tRNA from 1 species
GCCUGGGUGGCUCAGUGGUUGAGCAUCUGCCUUUGGCUCAGAUCAUGAUUCUGGUGUCCUAGGAUCAAGUCCUGCAUCGGGCU